GAUCAGGUGUUGCAUGGUUGUCUUAAGUCCGUGCUGAUGAGUGUUCGGUUAAUUCCCUGAACGGACGGAACCCUUAGCUUUAAUUACUGUUUUUUUUAUAAAUUUUAUAAAUAAUAAGAUUUUAUUAGAGUGACUGCCUACGGAAUGUAGGAGGCAGGAUAGGAAUAAGUCAAAUCCUUAUGGCCUUUAUGAGAGGGGCUAUCCACGUGUUACAGAGGUUAUUACAAAUAGAAGCAAAAAAGUGAUUUUUAGCAAAUCUUGAAAAGUGAGCCGUUGUUCAGAUUGUUUUCUGAAACUUGAAAACAUGAAGUAGGAAUCGCUAGUAAUCGUAAACGAGAGCGUUACGGUGAAUCGUGGAACUGAUCUUGUACACACCGCCCGUCACGCCAUGAAAAGCCGGUUUUAUAUGAAGCCUCAUUCAUCUAUAAGUUUAUAAUUUAAAAAAGUUUAGUAGAUACGUAACUACAUUUAUGUUUAGUUUGUAAUUUUAUAAAAAUUUUUUAUAAUUAAAAUAGAAUGCUCAUUCUAAAACAAGUUAUAGAAAUCAAGUGAUGUUGAUGAAAUGAAUAG
rnacentral:rRNA from 1 species